UACCGGAGCAUCCGCCCGAGAACUACGAGCGCAAACGCUUAAAACUCUAAGGACUUGGCGGUGUCCCAAACCCACCUAGAGGAGCCUGUUCUGUAAUCGAUGAUCCACGAUGUACCUGACCAUUCCUUGCCAAAACCAGCCUAUAUACCGCCGUCGCCAGCCCACCCAACCUGAAGGCCCAACAGUGGACGCAAUAGCCCUACUACGCUAAUAAGACAGGUCAAGGUAUAGCCCAUGGAAUGGGAGUAAUGGGCUACAUUUUCUAGAAUAGAACAUUACGGAAAGGGAUAUGAAACUGUCCCUGGAAGGAGGAUUUAGCAGUAAAG
rnacentral:rRNA from 1 species